rnacentral:rRNA from 2 species
GGAAGUAAAAGUCGUAACAAGGUCUCCGUUGGUGAACCAGCGGAGGGAUCAUUACCGAGUUGCAAAACUCCCAAACCCACUGUGAACCUAUACCACUGUUGCUUCGGCGGAUACGCCCCGGGCGCACCCCCUCCAGGGGGUUGUGCCCCGGAACCAGGCGCCCGCCGGGGGACCGAAACCUCUGUAUUUACCGUUUGAGUACUCUGAGUGUGAUUUACAAAAUCAAAAUUAAAACUUUCAACAACGGAUCUCUUGGCUCUAGCAUCGAUGAAGAACGCAGCGAAAUGCGAUAAGUAAUGCGAAUUGCAGAAUUCAGUGAAUCAUCGAAUCUUUGAACGCACAUUGCGCCCGCCAGUAUUCUGGCGGGCAUGCCUGUCUGAGCGUCGUUUCGACCCUCGCGCCCGGCUUCUGUCGGGGGCGGUGUUGGGGAUCGGCCACACCCACUCCGGUGGGAGGCCGGCCCCUAAAUCCAGUGGCGACCACGCUGUAGCCUCCCCUGCGUAGUACUAAAACCACCUCGCAGGCGGAGAGCGGUGCGGCCCGCCGUAAAACCCCCCAACUUUUACAAGGUCGACCUCAGAUCAGGUAGGAAUACCCGCUGAACUUAAGCAUAUCAAUAAGCGGAGGA